rnacentral:rRNA from 1 species
GACAUAGGUGGCGAACGUUAUCCGGAAUUAUUGGGCGUAAAGGGUGCGUAGAUUGCGUAAUAAGUUAGCAGUGAGAAAUCAGGGCUCAACCUUGUGGAAGCUGAUAAUACUGUUAUGCUUUGAGCACAGGAGAGGUUAACGGAAUUCCAUGUGGAGCGGUAAAAUGUGUCGAUAUAUGGAAGAACACCAAUAAAGGGGAAGGCAGUUAACUAUUCUGUUGCUGACAUUGAGGCACGAAAGCGUGGGGAGCAAAACGG